rnacentral:rRNA from 1 species
GAUGAACGCUGGCGGCGUGCCUAAUACAUGCAAGUCGAGCGAACAGAUAAGGAGCUUGCUCCUUUGACGUUAGCGGCGGACGGGUGAGUAACACGUGGGUAACCUACCUAUAAGACUGGGAUAACUUCGGGAAACCGGAGCUAAUACCGGAUAAUAUUUCGAACCGCAUGGUUCGAUAGUGAAAGAUGGUUUUGCUAUCACUUAUAGAUGGACCCGCGCCGUAUUAGCUAGUUAGUAAGGUAACGGCUUACCAAGGCGACGAUACGUAGCCGACCUGAGAGGGUGAUCGGCCACACUGGAACUGAGACACGGUCCAGACCCCUACGGGAGGCAGCAGUAGGGAAUCUUCCGCAAUGGGCGAAAGCCUGACGGAGCAACGCCGCGUGAGUGAUGAAGGUCUUCGGAUCGUAAAACUCUGUUAUUAGGGAAGAACAUACGUGUAAGUAACUGUGCACGUCUUGACGGUACCUAAUCAGAAAGCCACGGCUAACUACGUG